UACGUAGGGUGCGAGCGUUGUCCGGAAUUACUGGGCGUAAAGGGCUUGUAGGUGGUUUGUCGCGUUGUUCGUGAAAACCGGGGGCUUAACUCUCGGCGUGCGGGCGAUACGGGCAGACUGGAGUACUGCAGGGGAGACUGGAAUUCCUGGUGUAGCGGUGGAAUGCGCAGAUAUCAGGAGGAACACCGGUGGCGAAGGCGGGUCUCUGGGCAGUAACUGACGCUGAGGAGCGAAAGCGUGGGGAGCGAACAGG
rnacentral:rRNA from 1 species